AUGGAGACUACAAGAUCGUGUGGUCCCUUGGAUUUUGAGGUCAGUUGCAUCGACGGCAGUGUUCCUGUUCUACGGAGCUCUGGAUUCAAUGACUUUACGAUCAUGGACGUCUCCUACGAGGAACGCAGUAUGCAUGUCGUUGAUGUAAAGAUAGAAGAAGACUUCAACGUCUCGAAGAGCUGCCAUUUCCCGAGAUGGAACACCUCUGGCAAACUGGCACUUCCGUUUAAGGUCAACCCAGCCAACAUGAACCUCAUCUUCUAUAACUGCACCAAGACGAUGGCGCAUCAGGGCCGGGCGCUGGCGGAGAUGAGAUGUGUGAACACGAGUAACACAUUUGUUCGCUCGGGAGUGCGUUAUGAUGCAAUCGGGGACUACGCCGACUAUGCUUUGGAGGGCUGUGAUGCUAUCGUCAUGCCGGUGAUGGGCUCGUUCGGCGAGGCGAACAGGAGCGAUUACGAGCGGCUCAUCAGCGAUGGCUUCCUCUUGACAUGGGAUCUCCCUCUCCCUACUCCUGCACCUGCACGUAAGUUCACCUGCCAAAUUAUCUUUAAACAAUGCUUUGUAGUAAGUUCAAUCGUCAAAAAAUCCUCUUGA
rnacentral:rRNA from 1 species